rnacentral:lncRNA from 1 species
AUGAGUAAAAGAGGGACGAAAGAUACCAAAGGGACAGUCAAACUCAUAAAUCUAAAACAAACUGACAACACCAUGGCUAAAAAUGAAAAAGACAAACAGAAAAACAAUAGUACACAUGACACAACAUAGAAAACUAAAGAAUAAACAACACGAACCCCACCAAAAACUAGGGGUGAUCUCAGGUGCUCCGGAAGGGUAAGCAGAUCCUGCUCCACAUGUGGCACCCGUCGUGUUGCUUAUGUGAUUACAAAUCCGGUAAAUAGUCUAAUUCGGUAGGUCACAUUCAUGAAAGAGAAGGGG